rnacentral:rRNA from 1 species
GGGUUGUGAGGUUAAGCGACUAAGCGUACACGGUGGAUGCCCUGGCAGUCAGAGGCGAUGAAGGACGUGCUAAUCUGCGAUAAGCGUCGGUAAGGUGAUAUGAACCGUUAUAACCGGCGAUUUCCGAAUGGGGAAACCCAGUGUGUUUCGACACACUAUCAUUAACUGAAUCCAUAGGUUAAUGAGGCGAACCGGGGGAACUGAAACAUCUAAGUACCCCGAGGAAAAGAAAUCAACCGAGAUUCCCCCAGUAGCGGCGAGCGAACGGGGAGCAGCCCAGAGCCUGAAUCAGUGUGUGUGUUAGUGGAAGCGUCUGGAAAGGCGCGCGAUACAGGGUGACAGCCCCGUACACAAAAAUGCACAUACUGUGAGCUCGAUGAGUAGGGCGGGACACGUGGUAUCCUGUCUGAAUAUGGGGGGACCAUCCUCCAAGGCUAAAUACUCCUGACUGACCGAUAGUGAACCAGUACCGUGAGGGAAAGGCGAAAAGAACCCCGGCGAGGGGAGUGAAAAAGAACCUGAAACCGUGUACGUACAAGCAGUGGGAGCACGCUUCGGCGUGUGACUGCGUACCUUUUGUAUAAUGGGUCAGCGACUUAUAUUCUGUAGCAAGGUUAACCGAAUAGGGGAGCCGAAGGGAAACCGAGUCUUAACUGGGCGUUAAGUUGCAGGGUAUAGACCCGAAACCCGGUGAUCUAGCCAUGGGCAGGUUGAAGGUUGGGUAACACUAACUGGAGGACCGAACCGACUAAUGUUGAAAAAUUAGCGGAUGACUUGUGGCUGGGGGUGAAAGGCCAAUCAAACCGGGAGAUAGCUGGUUCUCCCCGAAAGCUAUUUAGGUAGCGCCUCGUGAAUUCAUCUCCGGGGGUAGAGCACUGUUUCGGCAAGGGGGUCAUCCCGACUUACCAACCCGAUGCAAACUGCGAAUACCGGAGAAUGUUAUCACGGGAGACACACGGCGGGUGCUAACGUCCGUCGUGAAGAGGGAAACAACCCAGACCGCCAGCUAAGGUCCCAAAGUCAUGGUUAAGUGGGAAACGAUGUGGGAAGGCCCAGACAGCCAGGAUGUUGGCUUAGAAGCAGCCAUCAUU